rnacentral:rRNA from 1 species
CCAAUAGCGUAUAUUAAAGUUGUUGCAGUUAAAAAGCUCGUAGUUGAAUUUCGGGGCCAGUAGGUUGGUCGUGCCACUGGUAUGCACUGGCCUCACUGGUCCCUCCUUCUUGUAGAACCGUGAUGGCAUUAAUUUGUUGUUGCGGGGAAACAGGACUGUUACUUUGAAAAAAUUAGAGUGCUUAAAGCAGGCUCGCGCUUGAAUACCUUAGCAUGGAAUAACGAAAUAGGACGAUCGAACCUAUUUUGUUGGUUUCUAGGAUCGACGUAAUGAUUAAUAGGGAUAGUUGGGGGCAUUAGUAUUCAAUUGUCAGAGGUGAAAUUCUUGGAUUUAUUGAAGACUAACUACUGCGAAAGCAUUUGCCAAGGAUGUUUUCAUUAAUCAAGAACGAAAGUUAGGGGAUCGAAGACGAUCAGAUACCGUCGUAGUCUUAACCAUAAACUAUGCCGACUAGGGAUCGGAUGAAGUUAAUUUUUUAAUGACUCAUUCGGCGCCUUACG